GACCAGGGAGAUAUCUCUCUCUCUCUCUCUCUCUCUCUCUCUCUAUAUAUAUAUAUAUAGAGAGAGAGAGAGAGAGAGAGAGAUUGGUUGCUUAG
rnacentral:miRNA from 1 species